rnacentral:hammerhead_ribozyme from 1 species
AUCCAGCUGACAAGUCCGAAAUAGGAAACGCGCGUCCUGGAU